rnacentral:sRNA from 1 species
AAAAAUAAAAUAAAAU